AGCCGGGCGUGGUGGUAGGCCCCUGUAAUCCUAGCUGCAGGCUAGGCUUCCCUCUAGGGGGACUGAGGCAGGAGAAUCACUUGAACCCAGGAGGUGGAGGUUGCAGUGAGCCUAGUUUGUGCUUCAUUUAGUGGAAAAAUCAGAUUCUGAGAAUCAGAGAUUUUGCCUCUACUAUAUUCUUGCUAUGCUGUCUUGAUCUCGUCUUUCUAGAGUUGCUCAGAGACUUGAAGUGCUCACCAAUAUCUGGUAUGAAGUUAUGAUUGUCUUUUUUCUACCCCAUUCCUUUAAUUCUCAUUUUACUUCUCCACUCCCCAAGAAUGAAUCUCUUCAAAAAUGAACUAAGAAUGGUUUAGCAACAAGCCUUACAAGGUAUAAUCUGUACAUUUAAAGGCUAUGUGGAUUUGAAUCUACUCCAA
rnacentral:lncRNA from 1 species